UGGCUCAGAACGAACGCUGGCGGCGCGCUUAACACAUGCAAGUCGAACGCGAAAGGGACUUCGGUCCUGAGUAAAGUGGCGCACGGGUGAGUAACGCGUAGAUAACCUGUCUUCAUGUCUGGAAUAAUACGCCGAAAGGGGUACUAAUACCGGAUAUUCUUGCUUUUCAUACGUUAUGCAAGCAAAGGUGGCCUCUGCAUAUGCUACUGCAUGAAGAGGGGUCUGCGUACCAUUAGCUAGUAGGUGGGGUAAUGGCCUACCUAGGCGACGAUGGUUAGCGGGUCUGAGAGGAUGAUCCGCCACACUGGCACUGGAACACGGGCCAGACUCCUACGGGAGGCAGCAGUGAGGAAUAUUGCGCAAUGGGGGAAACCCUGACGCAGCGACGCCGCGUGAGUGAGGAAGGCCUUCGGGUCGUAAAGCUCUGUCAAGAGGAAAGAAGUGUACAAUGGCUAAUACCUGUUGUAUUUGACGGUACCUCUAAAGGAAGCACCGGCUAACUCCGUGCCAGCCGCCGC
rnacentral:rRNA from 1 species